UGUGAAAUGCAGAGCUCUGUGACUGUUGGAGUGGCAUUGAGGGGACUGUCCCUUUGUCUAAAGAGUUUGCUGUUUUGAGGGCGAAUGCCUUGACUUCCAUUUAGAUGGGAACUGGUGUUGGGAAGAUGGCCACAUUUCUCAGAAAGAGAUGAGCUCAGGGAGGAAUGAAGAGGAGCACAAAAGGCAGUGAAAUGGCAGAGCAAGGCAAAGUAAAGGAGGUGCCAGAAAGCUGCACCUUGUUGGCAGGGAUGUGCACAGUGCUGAAGAUGUCUAAAGAAGGGAGAGAUUUUGCUGCAGCUUUUCAGAGAAUCAGGAUGUGAGGUCUGUGAGGUAACAUGCACGGCUUUAGGACUACGUUCUGAUCCACUACCAGUAGCUGGUAAUGCAUCCAAAUAGGAAAGGACCGUACAUUUUCUUAGCUUUAGAAAAUUGACAUGUAGCUGCUGUCUUCCAAGUAUCCCUUCUCUGUAGAAAGAGAACUGCACAUUUCCUUCAGACCAGCUUUUAACUUCCCCAAAGAUACUCGGCUCUCAGCUUGAAUAAACUGAGCUCUAUCCCACUGCAAGUGCAUUUGGCAUCACUUUCAGAAAUUUGAGGAUUUGAAAGGAACAGUGUGGGCACAGUGUUCCAUUCACAGGGAGAGGAGAGGAAAGAUGAGCUUUCUCACGUAAAAGGUUGCAGCAUUUCCUUUCUUGUUUGAGUCAUUGUAAGACAAAAGACAUGACCCUGCAAAGACAGACCAUUUAUGUGGUUUAGCAGCGGUGUAACCCCAAACUCUUUAUUUCAUUUGCAAUGUCAUUUGCUCUGUUAGCUAUCUGUACACCUACUCAGGGACUGCAGAAUGCCUUUAACUUGGAUUAUGGUGCAUGGCAGCCAGGAGCACAUAUUACACAGUUCUCCAAACAUCAAGGAAAACAAUGAAGUAUUUACAGGUCUAGAUAGGCUGAAUAUUCAAAAGAACAUAGCUCCACUUGCUCAGUUUAUUAUCUUUCUGUCCAUCUACCUAUGUAUUGUGCAUACUUUGCAUGCCUACGUAGUUCACAGAUCGUUAUGUUGAAUUUUUAGGCUAGAUUUUGCAGUGUUACACAGGCAUAGCAGUGGGAGAUGGUUAUGUUGCUUACUGUAGUGAACCCAGGAGCUAAACUUUGUAGUUAUUGUGAAAUGCAUGUUCUCUUCAAAGGAGAAAAAAAAAAAAAAAAAAAGAGCAUAAUUUGAAUAUUGCAGCAGAGGUGUAUUUGUAAGAGUGCAAAAUGUGAUUUUCACUGCCAAAUAACUUUCCCAUAUUGCAAGUGCUUGUUAGGAGUUAUCUGCUACUUUUUGGCCUACUGUAAAUACAAGUCACAAUGGUUUAUUCAAGAAGGAUUUUGGAAAAAAAAAAAAAAGUGUAUGGACCACUCUCAAUUUUAAAAUGAGAUAUUCAUCAGGAGUUAGCUAAAAUUCAAGGUGGUACCAGGUUAUCUACACAGCCAUUUGCUUUAGUCCUUAUUGAAAGUAAGCUUGUGUGGACAAAUACCAAGGGACCUUUUCUUGCAAGGUGGAGAAGUGCCUCUGAAAUGUGCGCCAGAAGAGCCAGAGAAUGCAGAAGCACAGAUGUCGCUCCCAUAGCACAGUGGGUUUGCUUGAAAACUGCUGUGCUUACUUCCAGUCUGAGCUGGCACUUUCUGCAGAAAGCUGCUGUGCACAUUGCUCUGAGUAGGAAGCGAUGCUGGCUGUAUCGUGCUGCUGUGACAAACUGCAAUCCUGAGCACUCUCAUGCCAGCAGAAUUGCUUGCCUGGAGGUGUUGUAGUCCUGAGACUUGACUUAUUUUUCCUUAGGCCCUGUUGCAUCAGAGGAGGAUUUCAUCUGUAGUGCAUUUAGAUACAAAAGACUACUUCAGAAGUUUUUGGCAAAACUGCCGGCAUCAGAAGCAAAUGCUGAUCUGCAUGAGUGCUGAAUAUUGGUGGUUGUAAAGGAAUGCCAUCUUUUAGGAUAGGAACAAUGAAUGACCCUAUAGAAAAUAACACUAAUUUGUGGUUUGGACAGUGGAAAUUACUCUUGAAUCUUCUUGACUGUGUGUAAAGAGUGUUAAGUGCACUGUUGAAUUAAUACAACAGUACAUGAACUCAUAUUUUUAGGAGUUGAUUGUGAUUCCUUUCUGUAUUUUUAGGGGUUGUUAAUAGCAGCAUUUUCUCUUCAGGAACUAGCUUUAUUUCCAGUUACAGGUUCAUAGCUGAAUCUGUGGGCUAUGUUUGGGUAUAACGUUACAUAGCCCUUUUGGCUUAUUAUGCUCCUAUGCAGUAAUUAAUGGAUGAAUGUAAAUAUGGGGAUAAAUGGUAGGAAAGAGAAAAAUAUUGUAGAAAAGGUGUACCUUUGCUGUGUGUUUGUAUAGCUUGAUAUCACCAGUUACUUCUCAAUUAGGAAUCUCGGCUACUCAUUUAUCUUUACAACAGAUUUUACCCUGCUUCCAGAUAGUAGGCAACUAAUUUCCUCCCUCUUCCAAGUUUAUGAAAAUGCUUUUUUUGUUUUGUUUUGUUUUCAGGGCUUUGCCAUUGUGUAUUGGUUGCUGUAUAAAAGAAUUUUCUACGUUGACAAAGUAUUCAGGGUGUUUGUCACAUUGCUGUAUUGAUAGUGGCAGUUCCACUGCUAUUAUGAUUUUAAAUCUCUUCUAGAAAAGGCUGGAGAAGCCAGCUUCAGCAGCAUUUAAGACUCCACACAUCAGGGAUGCAUUAAACAUCCUUCUGGAAGGACCUGAGAUGUCUGCACAUAUUACAGAGCUUUUAAAUGAGCUUCUAAUGAUGUCAGAUGAGUCCCUAACAACCAACAGAUGCCAAGCUUUUCUCGCUUUCUGUGAUGAUUUAGUGAUCAAUAGCAGUAAAAGAAUCCAGGCAAUACAGCAGAGUGUAUUGCUAGUCCUCUCAAAUGGUUGUUUAACUCUAAAGAUAAGCUUCUUGGUGUUUCCAGUGAUAACAAUGAUUAAUGCCUCCUUUGCUGUUGACUGCUCCGUACUCCUGUUUUCUUCCUCUGUAGGGUUUGUGGACUAUAUGAAAAGUUUACUGCUGUCUCUCCCAGCAGGUCCCUUCCAGCCAUGCCUAGCUGCUACUUAAGUGAUUCAUUAUGAUGAUGGAUUCAUAUCUGGUUUUGCAGAUGUGUCUGAGUGCCUUCUUCCUGAAGACACUGCUGUACUUUGUUCUGGGAGGUGUGAAAAGCAAGAAGAGAAAUUGGCCUGCCUAUAGUCCUAUCUGGAAGCAUUCAAGGAGCUGGAGGAGAACAGCCUGGGGCAUCAUUCUGAUCUGCUCUUUAGAUUGUGCACAGUGCGAUAGUGGGCUUCUAGGGGAGGGACUAUUUGGCCAGAAAUCAGAGCCUGCAGAGAGUUGUUAACUGCAAGGACCUUUGCCACAGUCCUAUGUAAAUGUCCUGCUGGAGAAGAUGCAGCUUGUGCUUAUUUCUACAGUGUCUGCUUGGAGCUAAAGGAGAGGAGGUUUUGAACACGGUGUUGGUGAAACACACAGAGGUGCAGAACAGUAAUGUCAUCUUCUGGAGAAGUGUGUUUUCCCUUGAAGGAUGGGCAAAUGAGGGGGGUAGAGCAGUAGGUGCCUGCUAGCAGUUCUGAGGCAGGUGGAGGCCCGUUUGAUAGAGAAGUACCUGUUAACGCAGAUUACAAAGGUUGUGACGGCCCUGUAAAAUACUGCUGUUUGGCUGGGGCAUAGGGAAGGGGGAAGUAUGUCACGAAUCCUGUUCAAUUUCUUGAUUAGUAUUUCUCCUGCAGGUUCUCCCCCUUACCCCCCCCGCCAUAAGAAAGGAUCAUCUGUGUGUAAGUUUGUGUUUGUCGUGCUUUCUGUUGUGUGAAGUCAGAGCAGAGGGGGCUGGCAUCACUGGCUGUAUCUGCUGGGUUGGGGAAACAGGCUGUGUGCGGACAACCCAGGCGCAGUGGGAGAAAGCUGACAGCGUGAUUUAAUAAGGCCUUGGCUAAGUAUUUCGGACCUUUUCUGGAAUUUGUCAGCUGUUUUUAAAUAUGUGCUUUAUCUCAUUUUUACAGCCAAAUGCUGCUGCUCUUUUCUAUUUUUAGUCUUAUCUUACUGCCUAAAAAUAGGACACUUCAUUUUAUUGGAAGGAAAAUGGUCAUCAGUAAAUGAUGAAGAUCAUUAAUUAUGUUGUCAAACAAAAUCAUACAUCAGCAAGCUUUUGUCUGUGUGGUAAUGUUUUUUUUACCUUGUAUGCUGGAAUGCCAUCUACGCUACUUUGAGACUACAGCAAGUACGCUGACUGCUCUCCAAAUGACUGCGCUGGUCAAGGCACUGCGGCGUUGAUCAACUGAUAUCUGUUUGAUCAACACUGUGUUUGAUCCCUGUGUUGAUCAACACUGGUCCCCCUGAUUCGAUACCCCCCACAGCCUUGUUACUGGCAACUCAGAAUCUGCCCGUUGCUUUUGAUUUUUGGCUUUGCCUUCAGUGGGGGAUUCUUGGCAAAUAGGAGGACAAUUAGCUAAAGAUGUAAAAACAACACGUAAAAGUCCAGAUUAAAUCCCUUUUGAAAACUUUCAGGAAAAAAUAGUGAUUUUAGUCCACAAUCAUUUUGACUCCUUGCUGGUGAUGGUUCAGCUCUUGGUAACACGUUUUGGUUUAAUGCAUUUAGUUAAUAAGUCUUAUUUCUGCACUAUCCUGGCAUAGUUCAAAGCUAGGUGGUAAUUCAGGUACUCUGGUGCUUUUGGGGUUCUGCCUGAGACCACCUUGUGCCAUAGUUAGGGGAUCAGGGCUUGUCAAAGCAUACAGGGGUGGUUCACUGGGGCUUAAAGACUGUUGCAGGCUUCUCUACUUUGUCAUCACUGAGCUGGUAAGAAUGACAAUAGCCUGUUGUCAACAGGCUUUAGCAUUAAUGUUCAUCUUUUAAAUCGUAUUUUCAUAUUUCUUUAAGCUGUUUUAUGUGACGAAGUACAGAGCUAUGAUUUCUGUUUCCUUAGUAGACUCUACUGGUGUCCCAAGACUUCAAAACGUGGAGUGACUGUUUCUGCAUGAAAACUAACUUGGGAUCAUGAAGAAGUUGAUUUACUUUGUUUACCUUCAUAGUGUUUAAAGCUGUGUUUUUUUUUGUUGCCACAAUAACUUUGUGGUGAGUUUUUGGCUUUUGUAACAAUUUCAGAGUUUUUUGUUUUUUUUUUUUUUUUUCUCCUUAUGCUUUGUGUUUUUGGGGAUGAAAAAACCAAGGCACUGGAUAAAGAAGAUAAAAUAGUUUGUGGGCAUUUAACUUUGAUGAUCAGAUAGGAAGACAGAGAGACUCUCUAAUCAUAACAUCUACAGGAACAUCAUGCAGUAAAAGUUGUGGGGUGUGUGUGUGUGUGUGACAGAGAUUUGCUUCCCAAGAAGCAGAAUAGCUGCAGCACUGAUUUUAAAAAAAUGAGGGUUGGAGAAGGAAACGAGAUAACGCAGAAAAAGACAGCAAAGAUUAUUUCCUUGAACGAGAAGGGAGUAUUUGAGAUGGAGUAUCCCUCUCUGGAAGGAUGAGACUUUUAAACCACUGUGUUAGAGACUAAAUGAAUUUUUUUGACUCCAUCCAACUUUGAGGAUGUCAGAUUUCUCUGUUGUGCCUGUUAACAGUGAGGUAAGAGAGCACGCUGUGUCUGUCGUGCCAGGCUUUGUGGGCACAGCCCCAGCCUGGCUAGGAUGUCCACCCUGCGUGACUGGGGGGAAGCUUCGCUCCCUUCACAGUAACUUCAAUUAUGUUGAUAUAAAUGCUAACACCUCCUCAUAAAUACGAUAAAUAUUGCUUGUGCGUCAAAUUGCUGGCUACUCUUAUAGCAACAGCUGGUUUAAAAUCUUAGAAUGUAUGUCCUGUUAUCUUUCUGCAAAUGAUCCAUCCUAUUUGCAUGUAAGGAUGAAGAGUGUAUUCAUUACUUUCUCAACUAACAUGAAAAGCUGCAAAGCCUUGGAUGCUGAUCCUGGUAUGUAUUCAGUUUUUCACAUUUUGCUGGACUGUGUCCUAAAGCUAUUUAAGUUUCUUAUUUUUCCAGACUGGUGGAAUCAUUUGUUCCCUAAAUUUUUCCCUUUUCAGGGGAAUAAUGAUUUUUUUUCCCCUAGUUUCAUUGUUUUCUAUAACUUCACUGGAGUGAGUUACUGGAAAUAACUUUUAUCUCUCUCUCUCUCUCUAUAUAUAUAAUUUAUUUUCUUUUCUGGCAAGGCUGAAACAAUUUCACUUUGGGAUUUGGUCAGCUCUGCUGGAAUUUGUAUGUUCUCCUCACGCUGGAUACCUUCCCUCUGGGCUUCCCCCUCUUCUCCUGGACCUGCAGCAUAUAGUGUGGCAGUGUGACGAUCCAGACAGGCCCUAAAAAACUGUUGGCAAAGGCCUUGCUGGAAACUUAAUUUCUUGGCCUUUCGAGAAUCCUUAACUUGGAGAACCAAUUGUUUUGCUGUCCUUUGGUUUCAAUUCUAUUUCUCAAAUUUUGAUUAUUCAGUUUGCUUUUAUAGAAAGCCUUUCUUUCCCCCUCUUUUUUAAACAAACUUCGAUGCUGGUGUAAAAUCCUUCCCUCUGUGAGGAAGAGAGCUUCUGCAGAUAUGUGGAAAACUGCCUGAGUGAAGGAUGGAAACGAGAGAGAGAAGACAUUUCACAGACAUUUUCUUGAUUACUGGUUCCUGAAAUCAAGACCUCCUGCUGCAGUGUAGGGAAUCAGUGUUGCCCAUCAGUUCAUUUUUUUUUUUUUCCCCUCUAUCCCUGCAGAGUUGUAUGAAAGAUGAUUUUAGUUGUCUUUCCCCAUUCCUUUUGGACUUUGUUUAUUUUGGGAAAAAAAUACUCCAAAUAAUGUUGUAUUUUAUAGGACCUAUAAAUAAUAAUUUCUGACUGUAAAGAAAAAUACAAGGCCUGCUUAGUGAGACUGCAGAUGAGAUUUCAGUUAUCCAUGCUUAAGUAGAUGAGGAAAGUAACUGAAAGAUGGAAGUAGUUUUAUGUUAAGCUGUUUUCUGUAAAACAAUGGCAAGACCUGGACUGAUUGAACAACGUAAUGGGUUAUUUGAAUGUUUGACAAGAGAUGAAAAACCUCAACCUGCAGUUUUUAUGGGGGGAAAUCAACUUUCAUAAGUGUACUUUGGAUACAAAUUGAAAGGGAUUUCGGAAUGAUCACUUCUGCAGCCAAACAAAAAUAUUAUUUCUUUGAGGCUAUUGUUACCAAAAUUCAGCAAGUUAUUAUUCUACUCACAAUCUUUGUAGCUCUUUAAUUUUUCAAAUAGUAUAUAUGUUAUUCUAAUGUUACAUUCAUGCGAAAGUAAGUCUGCUGUCUGUGGAACAGCCAUUCCUGCCGCUUCUGCAAAAUACUUUUACGUGUGUGUUUCUAGAGAGAAGGUGUAUUCCUUUCCCAUCCUGUGAAACUCAGGGGACUUUCAGCACAACCAAACCUCCUCCUCCCACAGGAGGGGACCACCAAGAGAAGUGCUUGGUGUCAGCCACCAAACGGGGUAUUCCUGCAUGUUAUAUAUUGGCUACCUGGACAGAAACCUGUUUGUUGCUAGAUUUGACUGUAUGAAUUGUAACACAUUUUAUUCUUCAAGGAUUCUUUAGUUUAUAAGAGAAUCUGGUCUCCUCAAAAACCUUUAUUUUAGCGGGUUGUCCCAUCUAAGCAACAUCUCAUUGAAAAAUCAUCUCAUUAAAAGUUGUAAGGGUAUGUGAAAAGCCCUAGGACAGGGCUAGGAAGUGUACUGUCUGGCUACACUGCCUGGAGUCACUGGGAUGUGUGAAAGGGGGAGUGAAGAGUCACACAUGAGGUUUAUAUGUUCACAGUAGGUCAGCAUGCAGAGACACGUGAGCCCACACACACCUGCACACUUGCAACAUCUCUUUUAAGAAAAUCAAAACUGAGCUCUGGAGGUUGCAGUUUAACAUAGCAGUGAGAACUGAAAAUUCUGCAAUUCAGCCUGAUUUAAUUUCUUCCUGUAACUCAUUUCUGAGUGUUUUUGCAUGUACAAGCUCUCAUUUUGUUUUUGUCCAUUUAUGCAUAAGUAACUUCCUAUUACUGAUUUUUUUUCAAUAGAACAGCACGUUAUUUAAGGCCAAGAAGAAAUUCUGAAAUCCAAUCUGCAAUUUCUAGUUGCAAAUUUUUGGAGUAAACUGAGUUCUGUUUAAUUUUUGGAAACAGUUUUCUCACCUGGUGUGUGAAGAAGCAAAGCCCACUUAGGAAUGCUCUUUGUGACAGUCCCCAUCCUUUCAAACUUGUUGUUGGCUCACACAGGGAUGGCUGUUACAGCGCUGUGACCAUCCCAAUUGCCCUCAUGUUCUUCUCCCUGCAGGGUUGCGAUGUUGGGCCUCUCUGCAGAGUUUGUGAUGAAGUGUCCUUUCGUUCACUGCCCCUCCAGCUGCUUUGUUUUAGCAUAUCUGUUUUCUGAUGAUCCUAGCCUUGUAUUAUUAGCUGCAUCUGUAAAUAUUUUUAUUACAUCUUUGUUAGGCAACAUAUUACUGCAGAAUGUUUUGGGACAGUCUUCUGGUUCCAAAUUAAGGAAGCUUUCAUUUUUUUCCCUGUAAUCUACAACAUUUUGGAGGCAAAAUUUACUUCCUACUGUAAAGCAGUGUUUAUUUAUAAAGCAGUAUUGUAAAUACUUUAAAUAUUGCUUUUCAUUGUAAUGCUUUCCUGACUAGCAUGACCGUUAAUUUAACAGAAUGUGAUGGUUUAGAGCAAGCUCUCUCCCUUGGGUUAGUUUACUGAUAAUUCUUUCCCUACCAGAUGGAAAUGAUUUGGGUACAGUAAGUUUAGAUGCAGGCAGUAGUUGUCUUACACAGUUGCAAUUGGGUUAAGAUGUGUUUUAGCUAAUCAAACCAUGGUAAAAUAUUAUGAAAAAGCCAAUUAAUUGAAAACACAAAGAACUUCCUUUUUUUUUCUCAGUUUUUCCUGUCAAUACCAGUGAAAACCCAUUGCUCCCUUUUCUUCAGUUCUGUUUUUUAGAGGGAUUGACCAGGCCAUGUGCAGGGUGGGACCUUCCCCUAAAUGCCAUCUCAACGAUUCUUCUGAAGUUUAGAAAGGUCUCAAAGCUGGUGGAUUGAUUACUAUUUCUUCUUCCUGUCUUCAUUUUGUCAAUUUUCCUGUGCAAAUGGGAAGUAGAGAUAAUUGCAGGCUUGUUUUAUAAAUGAACUCCUUCGGGCUUUUUAUGGAUGUUGUCAGUGUUAAAAUACUUUUAUUUAGCAAAAGUUUGCCUUUGGGACUGUUAAUCCAAGGAAGGUGUUUAAAUGAUUAGAUGGGCUUUGUUAGAGUGCUUUAACAUCAUGUAUUUUGAUCAAGAUGAAUUAGACAAUGGAUUUAAGGGAUUAUUUUUUUUCUGGCAUCAGUGAAGGAUAACUGAUACUGUGCUGAAGCAACCUCAGGGUAACUAACUGUGGAAGAAACUGCUGGAUCCACUCACUGAAGUGAUGUUGUCUCCUCAUCACUCUCAAUAAUGUGCUUUAUUUUUAAGGAAUAAUGAGUUCAGAGACUUUGGACAUGGCUUCCUUAGUGCUUCCCACUGUGCCACGUUUUUGGGACUGAUGCUGGGUCUCUCCAUGCCCCUGUUUUGGGUGCCUGGCUCCUCUGUGACAGCAGAGGUUUUGGUAGUGCUGAGCAAGGAGAAUUUGCUAUGUGGGCCUUGGAAAGAAAGCUACACCUGGAAUACUAACUUCCAUUGCUACUACUUAAGUUUCUAUAAACAGUUGAUUUAGUGGAUAAAUCUGGAGUAGGUAAACUUUUCUGAGAGGUGGCUGUGUUAUAAGAUGGAAGCAGUACAGAUCUCCCAAAUAACACUUCUCUUUUGAUAUGCUGGUACCAUACAGAUCCAAAGCUUGUUGCAGCUGUGCGUCAGGGAUAUGCAAAGAAGAAAACGCUCUUUGACACAUAAAGGAGCUAAUCUGUAAAUACAAAAAUAACUUCAGUGCUUUUAUAAAUAUCCAAGCAAUUCAUAUAAUGUAGACAGAAGCUUAGUAUAUUCUAGUACAGAGUACACGACAUAGACUAGAUUGCUUUGAGAAAUGAGAAGCUUUUCCCUUGGAUUAUUCAUUAUAAUCACGGAAAUGGACUUCUAAAGCAUCACUUGUACACGUGGCGCCGUUCUUUGCACUCACUGUCAGCCAGCUGACCUCCCACUGAAUUUGUGUUGUAAAUCACAGCAAAAUAAAAUUAACUGCACCAGAUAAUGUCUUCCUGUAUUUGCUGCAAACUUGUGGAUGAGGCUUUGAAAAUGUUAAUGAAGGCAGCUUUUUCAAUUACAGGGAGCAAAACAUCGCUUGUCCAAAUGGAUGCAUCAUCAUUGGGUUGCUAAAUCUAAAUUUGUUUUAGAUAUGUACUGAGCCAAAUUCUGUGCAACUAUCGUGUUGGAGUGUUUCGUUAAGUAUGUGGCUCUAAUGUCAUGAUGCGUCAUGUUACAAGCACAGACUUCUGU